GAUGCGUGGUUCUAGAUCGGACGUCUCCAUGGAGAGCAGGGAUGAAGAAGCAGUACAGGCCUGCGGUGGGGCGACCCGAACCGAGGAGAACUCGGCGACAGGGAAAAGAAGCAGCAGUGGCAGCGCUUGUCUCGGUGGGGUGGAGCUGCUCGGAAGAUGGAAGGGGACUGUCGACUUGCGGGAGGAGCAGGCCGGCCCUUGUUCGCCCUAGAGACACUUCCGACGCCGCAAGCCAGGGCAGCUCGACCACAGAAGCCCGCAGGAGCAGUAAACCAUGGAGGAUUUGGAGGCUGCUCACGUUUGUAACAGUAAACCAUGGAGGAUAUGGGGGAUGCACGACCUUAGAGCAGCAAACCAUGUCAGGCAAGGGUUAAACUGGGCUAUAUUUCUUUCAUUGAGGCGAGGGUGAUUCCAGCAGGUGAGGCGCAAUUUAGACAUCUGGAUGAUGUCUUGCUAUGUCCAGGUGGUACCAUGUCUGAAUUAAGAUUUUCCUUGCAGAUUUUGCUUGGCGUAUUCGCCUUUUUUCUUGAAGUUGGGCGUCAAUCGUCUCUGCGGCAAGGUGUCUGGUAGAAUUACUAGAAGUAGCGGAUCUACUUUUAUUUGCUGUCCUUGCUUGCCAUCAACUUAUGCCAACGAUGCAAGGUAUGAUGUUUGAUUAAUAGCUAUUCUUAGAGGAUGGAUCCAAAUAUUGUUUAAUUUGCCGGUUCUAUACUUGGUUGCAUUUUUUUACUGAAUGAAUGGCUCACGUUUUUUUUUGGAAAAGGAGGUUAAAACCUCCGGCCUCUGCAUCAAUCGAUGCAUACAAUCAUCACAUUGUUACGUAGCCUAACAUAUAUGUACAUUUUCUUCAAGCCUUAAAGUGUAGUUAGCACAACAUACAGACACACUUUGGUCGUGGGAUUAGCUUUCUCAUUAAAUUAUUUAAAUUGGUAGCUCAGAAACUAACUCUAUAGGUCUAUUAAAUCUUCUGUAGACCCACAUAUUUGAUAUUACCUGAAAAAUAAGGAGGUUACCUUUUCCUUUUAAUACCUGGAACCAAAUUGUUUGAUACCAAUUAUAUCUGGGCGCAGUUUCAUACAAGAUACAGCUUAGUAGCAAAAAAAAUUGCCCUCUGUCUUAUUUCUCCAUACAUUGGAUUCAUAUUUGUUACAAAUUUACAUCAAGGAGCCUUAGGCAUUUGUACUUUCAGAAUCAUUUUGAAACUGUGGUUCAGAGCAGAGGGCAUUUAAUAAGGAUGGUUCUAUUUCUGAAUCUUGCUCUAAUCCCUAAAAGGUGAAAUUGGGCAUGAUUUUGAUAUUUGUUUUACAAGAUAUUACAUCGAUUUUCUGGUUUGGGCAUACUGAUAAUUGUUUUCUUCAGACUACAUCUUAGCAUGCACUUUUGUAGACUAUUCUUGAUUAGUAGAUGUAUAUGAAUGUGAGCAACAGAGUUCUUUACUCCUAGAAAUUGCACAUGCCAAUGAAAUUCAGGUAUCCCUUGAUAAGUCUCUCAGCAUUUUGCUUUCGUUCGUAGAAUUAAAAUUUGCCAUCAAACAAACAAAUAGUUGUGUUACUAAGUUUAUUCUGUAAUUUGCAUGACAGUUUUGCAUAGGCUUGGUUUGUUCUGACAAAAGGUUAUUUCACACAACAUUAGAAUUGAAGUUUCUCCAUAGCUUUGGUUCAGUGGUAGCUUUAGCCUUUUUACAUGUGUGAGUAGGUGUUUCUAUCCAUUGACAUGAGAACAAAAUAGGUCAUGACAUGUUAAAUUAUUAAUAAUGGUCCAGAUUCAAAAAGAGUCUAUGAUGUAGAGAUUAAUAUGCUUAUAAAAUUCCCUCCUUUCUCAUUAUAAGUUCCCUUUUUAUUCUGAGCUCAGUUCUAAGUGUAAAGCUAAUUGGUUUGCUAAAAACACUGCAUCUAUAGUAUAUAUCUACACCAGAUAGAUUGUUGAUUUGUUUCUUAGAAAAGGGUUAUUUUAGCUAAUCUUUGGUACCGAUGGAAUAUGCAGUGAUUACUCCCAUAACCUAUGAUAAAGUAAUAUAAUUACCAUUUUCGGUCAACUUUCCAACACAUUAUGUCCAUGCUGUAACUAACAUUGUGUAUUUUUACACAGAUCUGUUCAUCGCAUGAAGCAAGGAAUUGAGACGGCCAUCCACUUCAUAUUGUUAACUCGAUGGUGUCGCACUAUGCUUUAUGAAAGCAACCUAAAUAAAUUGUUGUAAAUAACCCUAAGGAUUUUCUUUACCUUGAACUAUCUUUAAACCUUUCUUCUUGCUUCACUUGAUGCUUUUGGACUUCAUGCUGCCAUUGACCGGAAUGUAAACUGUUAUAUUUCUGAAUG